CUCCUGCUGAGCGAGGAGCGCGGCGUGCUGUAUGUCGGCGCUCGAGAGGCCGUCUACGAGCUCAACAUGAGCAACGUGUCAAUCAAGAGCAACCAGGUGAGUCUUCUGUGGAAAGUUUCAGAGAGCGACAUGUCGAUGUGUAUUUUAAAGGGGAAAUCUAAAGAGACGGACUGUCGGAACUACAUUCGAGUUCUGCAAGUGCUGGAUGAAGACACUCUGUAUGUUUGCGGGACUCACGCGUUUCAACCUCUCUGUGAUUAUCUGUCGCUGCAGGGUUUUGGUUUGCAGGAGAGAGCGGAGGAUGGCAGGGGGAAAUGUUCCUUCGACCCGGCCCAGAGCUUCACCACUGUGAUGGUUGAUGGCGAGUUGUACUCGGGAACGGCGUAUAACUUCCUGGGCAGCGAGCCGAUCAUCUCCAGAUCUUCUCUGUCUCAGAGUCUGCUGCGCACAGAGUAUUCAACGUCCUGGCUCAACGAGCCCAGUUUCGUCUUCGCUGAUGUGAUCCGAGAAGGACAGAACAGUCCGGAUGGAGAUGACGAUAAGAUCUACUACUUCUUCACCGAGGUGUCGGUGGAGUACGAGUUCUUCGGGAAGCUGCUGAUCCCCAGAAUCGCUCGCGUUUGUAAGGGGGAUCUGGGCGGCCAGCGGACGCUGCAGAAGAAGUGGACGUCGUUUCUGAAGGCUAAGCUGGUUUGCUCCAUGCCAGAGCUCAACUUUGUCUUCAAUGUGGUUCAUGACGUGUUUAUUCUGAAAGCGCCGCACUGGAGAGACACCAUCAUCUAUGGGGUCUUCACAUCUCAGUGGGGGAAUGUCGGUCUGUCCGCCGUCUGUGCGUAUAACAUGAGCUCAGUGCACGAGGUUUUCUCCAAAGGGAAGUUCAUGCAGAAGGCCACGGUGGAACAGUCCCACACCAAGUGGGUUCGAUUUAAUGGCAUCACCCCGAGUCCCAGACCAGGAGCGGUUAGUAUUUCCCCAAAACGGGGAUUUCAGUGGUUUAUAUUUGUCACACUCUUCCUUCCACUUCCUCUUUCCUGCACAGCUUCCCCUGCAGAGCCCCGCUCUGUCCCCUCUUCCUCCUCUCUGGCCGGGGCUCGUCUGAUUCCUCCUCUGCUGAGGGAGCAGUCCUGGAGCGUUCACCCUCACCAGGCCUUUCUGCUCUUCUGCCUGGCUGUGGGUCCUAGAGAUGUAAGUGUUGAGUGGCACAUAAACGGGCAGAAGCUCGAGACUCCUGUCACUGAAUACAGACAUGUGGUGUCCCAUGAUGCCGUGCUGGUGAGCAGCUGGCUGAAGGAGGAGGCUUUGAUUAAAGACGUCCAGUACGAGUGUACAGCGGUGUCUGAAGCAGGAAGUGACACGUCUAAAGUGGAGCUUCGGCUCAACAGCAGAGACGAGGCCGUGGAGCGCUGGAGAACCGCUCUGACCGACCACAACACACUCCUGCAGCAGUGGAAGAAAGCAUGGGAGAGCUGUGAUGGACAAGGUGUUCUCUGAACCGGCUCAUUAUCGCUCAUCAUGGAAUCAUUUUCUGCCUCCAGGGACAGACGCUUGGACAAGAGCACACACACACACACACACACACACACACACACACAAUCUUUCACACAGCUCACGUCACACUGGUGGUGUGUGUUUCUUCAGACCGUGAGGCGAACACACACUCACAGGCGCUCUGGGUCUGUCCGUGGUGCGUGGAUCCCGUCAGUGAAUGUGUGGGAUUCAGGCUGUUUGAGAGCCGUGGAGGACGUGUGCAGUGAGACGACCCUCUCAGGCUGAUGACAACUGCUAUCUAUGACCGUCUGCACACUUCUAUUUAUACUCCCUCCAUCCUCGAGAGCAAACGACACCGGCUCAUGUUAGUGAAAGCAAGAUUGGUUUUAUAGUAUUGUGUUAUUUAAAUAAUCACGUGUGUUUAUCUGAGCAGAUAUGUUUCAACUUUCUAGAAUAUAUUUUGUCUUCAAAAAUAGAGGUUGCAACCACAAUAAAUAAUAUUUCUAUCAUUUGUGAGCGUCUAUA
ensembl:lncRNA